AGCUGCAGUAUAAAUAACUGUACAAAGGCUAGCAUAAUAAUUUGUUUUUUAAUUGAAAACUAGAAUGAAUGAUUAAAUGAAAUAUAAACUAUAUCAAAUUUAAAAAAUAAAUUUAUUAUUUAAAUAAAAAAAUUUAAAUAAUUUUUAAAGACGAGAAGACCCUAAAGAAUUUUAAUAAUAAAUUAUAAUAUUAUAUAAUAAUUUAUUAUAUUAAUUGGGGAAAUUUUAAAAUUUAAAAAAUUUUUAAUUAAAUAAACAUAAAUUUUUGAAUACUUAAAAUUUUUUUAAAAAAUUAAAUAAAUUACCUUAGGGAUAACAGCAUAAUUUUUUUAAAAAGUUCAAAUUUAUAAAAAAGUUUAUGACCUCGAUGUU
rnacentral:rRNA from 1 species